AGAGUUUGAUCCUGGCUCAGGAUGAACGCUAGCGGCAGGCCUAACACAUGCAAGUCGAGGGGCAACACGGAUUAGCUUGCUAAUUUGGUGGCGACCGGCGCACGGGUGAGUAACGCGUAUGGAAUCUGCCUGUUACAAGGGGAUAGCCCGAAGAAAUUUGGAUUAAUACCCUAUGAGCUGUCUGCGAGGCAUCUCGUAAACAGGAAAGAUUCAUCGGUAACAGAUGACCAUGCGUCCUAUUAGUUAGUUGGUGAGGUAACGGCUCACCAAGGCGACGAUAGGUAGGGGUUCUGAGAGGAUGGUCCCCCACAUUGGAACUGAGACACGGUCCAAACUCCUACGGGAGGCAGCAGUGAGGAAUAUUGGUCAAUGGACGGAAGUCUGAACCAGCCAUGCCGCGUGCAGGAAGAAGGUCUUAUGGAUUGUAAACUGCUUUUAUCUGGGAAUAAACCCGAAUACGUGUAUUCGGCUGAAUGUACCAGAGGAAUAAGCACCGGCUGACUCCGUGCCAGCAGCCGCGGUAAUACGGAGGGUGCAAGCGUUAUCCGGAAUCAUUGGGUUAAAGGGUCCGCAGGCGGGCUCGUAAGUCAGUGGUGAAAAACUGCAGCUUAACUGCAGUCGUGCCAUUGAAACUGCGGGUCUUGAAUUAGGAGGGCGUAGGCGGAAUAUGACAUGUAGCGGUGAAAUGCAUAGAGAUGUCAUAGAACACCGAAAGCGAAGGCAGCUUACGAUACCUAAAUUGACGCUCAUGGACGAAAGCGUGGGUAGCGAACAGGAUUAGAUACCCUGGUAGUCCACGCCGUAAACGAUGAUUACUAGUUUUUGUGAAUGUAAAUUUGCAGAGGCUAAGCGAAAGUGAUAAGUAAUCCACCUGGGGAGUACGAUCGCAAGGUUGAAACUCAAAGGAAUUGACGGGGGCCCGCACAAGCGGUGGAGCAUGUGGUUUAAUUCGAUGAUACGCGAGGAACCUUACCAGGGCUUAAAUGGGAGAUGAAUAGAUUAGAAAUAGUUUAGCCUGCAAAGGCAUCUUUCAAGGUGCUGCAUGGCUGUCGUCAGCUCGUGCCGUGAGGUGUUGGGUUAAGUCCCGCAACGAGCGCAACCCCUAUCUUUAGUUGCCAACGGGUGAAGCCGGGAACUCUAAAGAAACUGCCAGCGCAAGCUGAGAGGAAGGCGGGGACGACGUCAAGUCAUCACGGCCCUUACGUCCUGGGCCACACACGUGCUACAAUGGCCGGUACAGAGGGCAGCUACCCCGCGAGGGGAUGCGAAUCUCGAAAGCCGGUCACAGUUCGGAUUGGAGUCUGCAACUCGACUCUAUGAAGCUGGAAUCGCUAGUAAUCGCGCAUCAGCCAUGGCGCGGUGAAUACGUUCCCGGGCCUUGUACACACCGCCCGUCAAACAAUGGGAGUCGGAGGUACCUGAAGUCGGUAACCGUUAAGGAGCUGCCUAAGGUAAAUCUGGUAACUGGUGUUAAGUCGUAACAAGGUA
rnacentral:rRNA from 1 species